GUGGGGAAUAUUGGACAAUGGGCGAAAGCCUGAUCCAGCCAUGCCGCGUGUGUGAAGAAGGUCUUCGGAUUAUAAAGCACUUUAAGUUGGGAGGAAGGGCAGAAAGUUAAUACCUUGCUGUUUUGACGUUACCGACAGAAUAAGCACCGGCUAACUUCGUGCCAGCAGCCGCGGUAAUACGAAGGGUGCAAGCGUUAAUCGGAAUUACUGGGCGUAAAGCGCGCGUAGGUGGUUUUGUAAGUUGGAGGUGAAAUCCCCGGGCUCAAACUGGGAACUGCCUCCAAAACUGCAUGACUAGAGUACGGUAGAGGGUAGUGGAAUUUCCUGUAUAGCGGUGAAAUGCGUAGAUAUAGGAAGGAACACCAGUGGCGAAGGCGACUACCUGGACUGAUACUGACACUGAGGUGCGAAAGCGUGGGGAGCAAACAGGAUUAGAAACCCGGGUAGUCC
rnacentral:rRNA from 1 species